GACGAACGCUGGCGGCGGGCUUAACACAUGCAAGUCGAACGGAGAGGCCGUGCUUAGGGGGGGUGCUCGGAGGGCGGACGGGUGAGUAACACGUGGGUAACCUGCCCUUGACGUUGGGAUAACGUCAUGAAACUUGGGCUCAUAGCGGGUAGGAGCUACUGCUGAAGGGUGGGGGUGGGAAAGUUUAGGCGGUUGGGGAGGGACUGGCGGCUUAUUAGGUUGUUGGUGGGGUAGUGGCUGACCAUGGCUUUGACGGGUAGCCGGACCGAGAGGGUGACCGGCCACAGCGGGACUGAGACACGGACCCGACCCCUACGGGAGGGAGCAGCGGGGAAUAGUGCACUAUGGGCGUGAGGCUGAUGCAGCAACGCCGCGGGCGGGAGGACGGUCUUGGCGUUGGAAUCCUAUUUCGCCUGCGACGAAGCGGGUGUGACGGUUACGGGCAGAGAAGGCCCGGCUUACUACGUU
rnacentral:rRNA from 1 species